GAUGAACGCUGGCGGCGUGCUUAAUACAUGCAAGUCGAGCGAACGGACGAGAAGCUUGCUUCUCUGAUGUUAGCGGCGGACGGGUGAGUAACACGUGGAUAACCUACCUAUAAGACUGGGAUAACUUCGGGAAACCGGAGCUAAUACCGGAUGAUAUUUUGAACCGCAUGGUUCAAAAGUGAAAGACGGUCUUGCUGUCACUUAUAGAUGGAUCCGCGCUGCAUUAGCUAGUUGGUAAGGUAACGGCUUACCAAGGCAACGAUGCAUAGCCGACCUGAGAGGGUGAUCGGCCACACUGGAACUGAGACACGGUCCAGACUCCUACGGGAGGCAGCAGUAGGGAAUCUUCCGCAAUGGGCGAAAGCCUGACGGAGCAACGCCGCGUGAGUGAUGAAGGUCUUCGGAUCGUAAAACUCUGUUAUUAGGGAAGAACAUAUGUGUAAGUAACUGUGCACAUCUUGACGGUACCUAAGCAGAAAGCCACGGCUAACUACGU
rnacentral:rRNA from 1 species